GGCGGGUGUAUUCUUUCCGCCGAUUCUGUUGAAAAACUUUUCUUAAACGGAAGCAAACGGAAUGAAACUGGGAUAAACAUACAUCAAUUUGUCCAAUAGGAACUCUUGUUUGCAACUGUUGGACUAAUGAUUACACCCUAUGUCCGCUAGAUGCAAGCAAGAGUGUGCGACGCGGUAAUGAAUGUGUCACUGUUUUUCCAUGUGUCACUGUCUGUCACCUCAAAUCUUUCUCUCGACCUGUGUGCACCUAUGUUGAAUUCAUAGGCUAGGUUGUAGCAACCUCAUGAUGGGGAUAGGAAGAAUUUGAUUAUCAUGUAGUAGCCUAAACCUAUCGAUGUUAAACUGGGUGGAUGGAAUAUGAAUGACAGUCCUCCAAUAUGCUGUAAUAGAAAUAAGGCCAUGCUCAUAAAAUUAAUAAUCGUCCUCCCUGAUCUUAAACGGCACCGACCGCCACUACGAUGGAGGCGGUCGUGUUCUUUUGAUGAAUCUAUUUGCAAUUUUGACAGGACAAUAGAGUUUUGACGAAUGUAAUGCAGUUUACGAGGGUUCAAUCAGGAAGACCGGUCUGAAUGGCUCGUCCCUUUUUAUGCAUCCAGUAUUCACAUCACGUCCUAUCUCACUCAUCAGCAUAGCAGCAACAGUCUGCCAAUGACCUUCCACUUCCCCACCACCACCAACAAACUAAAGGCCUGUCAUCGGAUCCCCGUUCUCCUAGUGGCGGGGGGUUUCGAUGCAAGGUGCCCAGCAUAGGGCGACCUGUCAUCAGCAUCUGGCUUCCUCGGAGACGAGGCUUACCCAAAACUAUUCAAUACAAUUCCAUAUUGUGUCCUGUCUCUGUUGUCAUUCAGCUAAGCCUGCACUCAAUUGAAUGUAUGUUUUGAGAAGGCAACUACAUUUGAAAAAGCGUUUGCUGUUUUACAAAUGGCCACACACUUCUGUGUCUUGUGAACUGGGUUUUGAAUAUUGACAUUGUUGUUCCAUAAACAAAAAUGCUUGUAUGCGAUUGAUAAAAAGUGUAAUCAGAAUAAUCAGGAAACAUAGUGGGCACAUAUUGUAUUUUUUUAAAUGUUAUUACCCGAUUCUUAAGAUCUGAAGUAGAGCCAAACAGAAAAGGACCAGCAUAAUGUUGUACGUAGGUUGCAAUUAUAUACCUACCCAUGAAGCCAAGUCCGUACAGUCAAUGCCAAGUCCAUACAUACAGCCAAGAUUAUAUGUUGGUUAAUUGGGAUGAUAAUUCUGCAUGACAAGGAAGCUGAGACCAGAAUAGAGCUGAAGAAAAGGCUCAUUGUGCCAAAAGCAGCCCACACACAAGCACUGAUCCUCUCUCUUUCAGCACUUGUCUGUUCUGGGAAGAAAACAAACAUUUGGUUGAUUGGCUUCAGUUGACCAUGGUAACGGGGGCGAAGCAGCCAAAUACGGGGCGAGUCAAAAAAAAAUCUGCUCUUACAUACAAGAUGGCUCUCUGAUGUUGUGGGUGGUGGUGUUGUGUGUGUGCUUCUCCCCAGGCUGGUUUCAGAUGGCACCUCCACCCUGGGUGCAACUGUCUGAAUCUAUGUGAUUACAGUAUUGCUCAAUAUCCUUGAAAUAGCUACAAUAUUGUUACAAUAUUGCCAUGUUUGAAUGAAAUGAUAUUACACAUAAUUCUUUGACUUUCCUCUGUUGCUGCGGUUACGACAAGGGGUGGCGUUUUCUUUGGAGCUUGGGUUGUGAUUCAAUAUCUACGGUAUACCAUAUGUAUAGCUCAGACCAAACUAACUAUAGUUAAGUAAGAGACUAGCACUAAACUGAGGGAUAAAUCCAAACAAAGAAUAAACCCCCAUUCACUGGAACAACAUCAAUAAUGGCCCUGCAAUGAAUAAAAACCUCAUUUCAAUUGACGCACACAUUUCCAUUUAGGUCUUAUAUACAGUAGCUUUAGAUGUAUGGCACACCCUUUCAUUCAUUUCAUGUGGAUCAAAUUCAGGCUCUUUGCUCUAAUACUGUCUGAGGAUUAUCACCUUCAGACUCAUGUUUCCAAUGUCAAUUCAAUCCAUUAUUUUUCCAUUCCUGGGUUUUCUUUGAAAUUUAAGUGCUGAUUUGAGUGCUGAGACUGUCUUUGCCCCCUGACAGUGGGCAAGAGUCCUCCUCCUGUCAUUUCUUCACUCAAUAUUCAUGGAUUCAUUCAGAUCUGAAACACAUAACCAUCCCGAGGCUAGCUGAAGUUCCGCUGCCUCCUGGUGUCAAGUUGUCAAU
rnacentral:lncRNA from 1 species